AAUAUUCUCCAGUGGCGGCGCCGCUACCAAUCAAUCCUAAAUCAAUACCACAGCACCCCCAUGGUCUCCUCUUCCCCAAUCCAUAACCCGUUUUCCUCGAAUCACCUUAGGAUUCUUCGAAUCUUGAUUCAUAGUUUUGAACCCUAAAAUCCCAAAACCCCAAAUCGAGAUUUCAGUGAAGGGUUGGGGUCUAGUUGUAUUUUACUCGUGUAUUCUUGACAAGAACGCACGAUUAAGGUCAAACUCGGCCAAAAUUUGAAGGUUUAAAGAUUCUUUUCAAUUUUCUACUGUCCAGGCCACUUCUUAGGUAUUUUUCUUUAUUUUUCUGUUAUUCAAUUUUUAUUUGUAGUUCUCUUCUCAUCUUCUACCGUUUAUUUCUUUUAUUUUCUGAUUUUUUUUUCAUUUUUCAUUUCUUCAAAUCAUCCAUGUUUGCGUGUUAGUCUUAGAUUUGUUUAGUUAGCAUUUUUUUUUCUGGUUUUGAGUUUUGUAUGUGGUUUGAUUUUCUGUUUCUACUCUUUCUUUGGGUGCUGAGGGUUUCGUGAGCCUUUGUGACUCUGCAAGCUUUUGGGCUGUGUGGGUUUGUCUGAGUUCAAUUGAACUUAGACCCUGAAAAUCCGAAGUCCAAAAGAGGAUUCAACCCGAAUUUUGCAGACCCAUAACUAUUUGACCUUGGGUCAAUUUGACCAAUAUCUAUUUGGUUUCAGGGGUAAAAAUAGAGGGUCUAGGGGUUAAUUUAGGUUAGGGAAUAUAUUUGUAACUAACUGGAGAAGCUUCUAGGAAGGUGGGAUUGGGACUAACUCUGAAAAACUGAUUUUAAACUAAGGGUAUAACAGCAAAAAUAAAAAUUGCAAAAGGAUUAAAAGGCAAAAAUAAAACUUAUUCCCACUGCCCUAAGACUUGCCUAUAAAGGCAUUGUAAUUUAAUUCUCAAGUCAGAACUUAGAGACUAUAAAAUACUGAAAAGGUGAAAACGGCUGAGCUUCAAAAACUCUGAAGAAACACUGAAAUUCCUGCAUUCCCCUUGGUCAAAAUUGGCUAAUUCUACUUCGAAAUUUCCUAGUUAAUCAGAGCUUUCGAGACUCUAUAGACUGGUGUUCAUCUGGGAUCUUCACUGAUUGGAAAGAAGCUGAUUUUGCUGUAUUUGUUUUGCUGAAACUGCAAGUUGCUAUUGCUGAUUUCUGUCACUUUUCCUUUUAUUUUGAUCAUUCCAGGUAUUUUCUUGAACUAUUGAUUGGCAAAUGAAGUUAUGAAUGUGUUGGUUUUGUAUGGAAAAUAGGGGGUCUGUUGAAAUGCAAUAAGCUUGUUUAUCUUUGAAGAUCAAUGUUCAUGUGUUCACUUAAGCUACCCAGCUCUUGUUUAUUUCUCUUGCUUCCUUCUUAAAUGUCAUAUAGUAGUAGAUGUUUUACUCAUUUCAUGUUGAAAUAUUGAGUUUGUGCAAAACUCUAAAACGUGGUUCUGAUUAUUUCAUUUCUAUAGUAUUCUAUGUGUAAAUCCUAAACUCUACAUGUUAUUUCAGCUCUUCACUUGUUACUAAUAGGUUGUGGAAAUGAAUCCAUGAUAUUAAGAAUUUUAGUAUGACUUUUGGGAUUCAAGUGAAUAAUAUACUAAUUCCCUGGAUCCUGUUAUUGUUGGUAGUGAGAAAGAGCUUAACUGAGUUCAAGUUUCAUACGUUCAUUUGUGAAAUUAGCUAGAAUUGAAUGUAAGCAUGAACAUCUGGUUGGUUUUGUUAUAGGUGUAAUUGAGGAUAAGAAUGUGUUGUUUUAGUGUAAUAUGAGUUAAUAGCCCGUAAAGCUUCUGUGUUGGUAGGGACUCGACAUUGAGUCCUACUCUUCAGCCUUGUCUUUUGCAAAAGUUUAAAUUCCUUGGGCCUGGGACUUUGAGGUCAUUUGCAAGGAAGAAUGGUAUGCCCAUUGCUAUUUGGGCAUGCUUCUUAAGCCUAGUAAUUUGUUUAUUUGUUAUUGUUGCAGUUUUUCCCAUAGCAGACUUGGCCUAAAAGUGCAUGAAAAUUAAAAUCCAGAAGUCCAACCAGUUGAUUCGUGUUUAAGUAAUUGAAAUUCAGAAGUAAAAAUGCUAAUUCAAUUUCUUGUUUCAUGUAGUUGUAGUUGAUUCGUGUUUUAAAUAAUUUUUUGUACAACUUAUUGUUCUGUGAAUUGGGCUCAAUGUUGGCCUAUCAGUAGAAAGGCUUAAUCGCUUGGACUGCCCUUCACCCAUUCAUUUUCUUAGGCCUAUUCCGGUCCAGAAGCCCAACGAUUUAUUUUGUAAAUAAUAGCCAUGCAAUCAAUGACUUUUAGUUACUGUACUUUUAAAUAAUAAUUCGUUUGUUUAGAGUGAGGCGAGCCAUAUUAGACAAGUUAUAAUUCAUGGCCCUCAUAUUAAAUUCAUAACUUAUAUUUUAAUAAAUAACCAAUGAUCGUAGUUUGCUUCAGGCUCGAUUUAGAUUAGUAUUGCAAUUAUAUAUACGUUCGCGUAAUAUAAUUGCAAAUAAAAUUCUUAAAAGAAUUGAGGUAUGCGUUAGCGCAACUUCAACUAAAUUCUCUUAAUAAAUAAAUAAAGCGUUAUUAAUCAUGGACACGUUCGCGUGACAUGGUUUUUGACGCGCCAAAGGAAAAGAGUAUAUGUACGCGUAACUCAAUUCUUUAAUUACGAUUAAUCAAGUGAUUUAAAAGCAGUAAAAGAUAAUUGCACAUAGGUCUUAAAAAUGAGUAGUUAAACAAUUAAGCUAAGUAUGAAUUGUUAAGCGACCGUGCUAGAUCCGCGGAAUCCGGGGGUACCUAACACCUUCCCUCGGGUUAACAGAAUUCUUUAUUCAGAAUUUCUGGUUCGCAGACUCUUUAAAAAUAAAACUUCCUCGAUUUGGGAUUUAAAAUAAACCGGUGACUUUUAUUCCAAGUGGAGAAUCUGAUAAAUUAAAUAAUCCCAUUUCGAAUAAUGUCACUUUAAUUGGAAAAACUCUCAUAUACCCUCUCGGAGUGUAAAAAGGAGGUGUGACAAAUGUGUGUGGGCCAAUAAAUCCACCUUCCUUUAAAUGUCUACAAGCAUCUAAAUCCAGAAUAUCUAACAAGGAAACGAAAGUACAGAAGAGAUAAUACAAAAAGGGAGGGUAAAAAAGGACUCUUCAGUCUGCGGAUGCGGCAGAUAUACCUUGGAGUCUCUACAAGCGUCUCGUCUCACGAGUGAUAAGUCUGAAUGGAGGUACCUGGAUCUGCACAUGAAAAACAUGCAUAGAAAGGGCAUGAGUACACCACAGUGGUACUCAGUAAGUGCCAAGCCUAACCUCGGUUGGGUAGUGACGAGGAAGGUUAGAGCCCUACUAAGGUUAAAUAAAAUAUAAGAUUUAAUAGUGUAGAAUAAAACAGUAUAAAUAAGUACAAUAGUAAAAGUAACACGGGAUAUGAAGGACAGCAACAACUACUACAGAGGCAAAAUAAACACAAAAAGAAAUACAGCUCAACACAAAGAUAACAAUCGGGAUCUCCCAAGAUACCGUCUUGUAGUCUCAAAUGUAAAUAUCCAGUGGAUCUCCCGAGAUAUCGUCCCGUAGUCCAACUCAUAAUGCGAGGAGAUCUCCUGGAAUACCGAUCCGUAGUCCCAAAUGUAAAUACUCAGUACAUGGGGAAUCUACCGGGUGCAGUCCCGUAGUUCCAAUGUAAAUGUGCAGGGGGAUCUCCCGAAAUAUCGUUCUGUCGUCCCAAAGUAAACAUACAGGGGGAUCUUCCGGGAUACCGUCCCGUAGUCCCAAAGUAAACACAUAGCAACAGCAAGAAAAGUACACAGUUCAAUUCAAGUUCCAUACCAAGGUAAAACAUGUAUUUCUAACCUAGCAUGUUGCACGUAAUCCAAAUAAGGCAGUUUGAGCUAGUGGGAAAAUUAAGUCAAUUAGACAUGCUUUCCUAAGCUAACAACCGGCUUAAAUUGCGAGUAAUAUAAACAGGAAAGAAAACAUACUAGUAACUACUUAAUGAAAACCGGAUUUUCAAUAAUUAGCACAAGUAUGCACUCGUCACCUCACGUACAAGGCAUUUCAAUUAUCAAUAAUACCAAAUCCUAAGGGGAAGGUCCCCCACACAAGGUUAGGCAAGCCACUUACCUCGAACCAGCUCAAAAUCAACCUGAAACCACGUUCUUGCCAUGAGUACUCGAUUCCAAAUGGCCCAAAUCUAUUCAAUUCAAUUUCAUAAUGUAAAUAACACUUCAAGUAACAGACUCUACAAAUAAAUUUUAAGCUAAUACGCAAAAUUAGAAAAAAUGACCAAAAUGCCCCUCAGGCCCACAUCUCGGAAUCGGGUAAACAUUAUAUUUUCAGAAUCCUCAUACUCUCACGAGUUCAUUUAUAUCAAAAUUAUCCAAAUCCAAGGUCAAAUUCUUAAUCAAAAUUUGAAUUCUAGGUCUAAAAACUUUCUUCCAAUUUUUCCCAAAUUUUCACCUCCAAUCCGAAAUUAUAUGACAAAAUUAACAAUAGAUUAAUGGAAUACAACUUGAAAGGGUUAAGGAAUUGUUACCCAAUGAUUUUUUCUUCAAAUUCCUCCCAAAAUUGCCCUCUCCCGAGCUCCAAUUUGAUUUUUCCAAGUUUUGAACUAAACCCUCGAUUAUGUCCCUUUCUGACCAGUGAAACCGCAUCUGCGGUCCCGCUUCUGCGAAAACCCUGUCGCAUGUGCGGCAUUUCAUUAAAGGGGGACUUCCGCACCUGCGACUGCUCUAACGAAGAUGCGGUGCCACUUCUGCGGUGCCCUGGCCGCAUCUGCGGUUAAUUGCCUUUUGCCUCAAACCGCUUUUGCGGUUGCUCGACCACUUCUGCGGUCUCGCACCUGCGGUUCCCAAGCCACAGGUGCGGUUAUGACAGCAGCCUUGAAACUUCAGCUGCAACUCACAACUUCUAACCUUUCCGUCAAACAUCCGAAAUCAUCUCGAGGCCCCUGAGACCUCAACCAAAACCACGAACAAGUCCUAUACUACUAUUCAAACUUAUACCAAUCCUUAAAACACCUAAAACAAUAUCGGAUCAACCAAUUAGCAUCAGAUUCAAGCCUAAGAACUUCAAAAACUCUCAAAAUAUGCUUUCGAUCAAAAAGGCUAUCAAAGUUUGUCUGAAUGACCUGGAAUUUGCACACACAUCACAUUCAACACUACGUAGCUACUCUAACUUCCGGCAUUUCAAGGCUAAAUUAGCUACGGACCUCCAAAACACAAUCCGAGCAUGCCCCUAAACCCAAAAUCACCCAACGGAGCUAACGGAGCCAUCAGAAUUCCAUUCCAAGGCCGUCUUCACACUGUUCCGACUACGGUCAAAUUUCCAAAACAUAAGCUCUCAUUUAGGGAUUAAGUGUCCCAAAACUCUCCGAAACUCCAAAUAAACCCUCCCGGCAACUCACAAUAGAAGAAACAAACAUGGGGAAAGCAGUUAAUAGGGGAUCGAAGCGUAAAUUCUUAAAACGACCGGCCUGGUCAUUACAUCCUCGCACACUUAAACAUUCGUUCGUCCUCGAACGAGCAUAGAUAUAUACCUGAAGUAGUGAAAUGAUGAGGGUAAUGGCUGCGUAUAUCUUGCUCGGUCUCCCAGGUCACCUCCUCGAUCGGUUGACCUCGCCACUGAACCUUUACAGAUGCAAUGUUCUUUAACCUCAGCUUUCGAACCUGGCUGUCCAAUAUCGCCACUGGCUCCUCAACAUAAGAUAGAUCCUUGUCCAACCAGACUGAACUGAAAUCUAACACGUGCGACGGAUCACUGUGAUACCUCCGAAGCAUCGAAACAUGAAAUACCAGAUGAAAUCCUACCAAGCUGGGAGGUAAGGCGAGCUCAUAGGCAACCUCCCCAAUAUGCCUUAAUAUCUCAAAAUGACCAAUAAACCUCGGACUCAACUUUCCUUUCUUCCCAAAUCUCAUAACGCCCUUCAUAGGUGAAACCCGAAGGAGAACCCGCUCUCCAACCAUAUAGGAAACAUCACAAACCAUCCGGUCCACGUAACUCUUCUGUCUAGACUGGGCUGUACGGAGUCUAUCCUGAAUCACCUUAACCUUCUCCAAAGCAUCCUAAACCAAGUUUUUGCCCAAUAAUCUAGCCUCACCCGGCUCAAACCAACCCACCGGGGAUCUACACCGCCUACUAUAUAAAUCCUCGUACGGUGCCAUCUGAAUGUUGUACUGAUAGCUGUUGUUGUAAGAAAACUCCACUAGUGCCAAGAACUGAUCCCAAGACCCUCCAAACUCAAUCACACAUGCACGGAGCAUAUCCUCAAGAAUCUGAAUAGUGUGCUCGGACUUUCCGUCCGUCUAAGGGUGAAAUGUUGUACUCAACUCCACCCGAGUACCCAACUCAUGUUGUACAGCCCUCCAAAUCCGCGAUGUGAACUGAGUACCUCUGUCUGAAAUAAUGGAAACUAGAGUACCAUGCAGACGAACAAUCUCCCGGAUAUAAAUCUCCGCCAACCGCUCCGAAGAAUAAGUAGUACACAUAGGAAUGAAGUGCGCGGACUUGGUCAACCGAUCCACAAUCACCCAAAUGGCAUCGAACUUCCUCAAAGUCCAUGGGAGCCCAACUAUAAAGUUCAUGGUGAUCCGCUCCCACUUCCACUCCGGAAUCUCUAUCUGCUGAAGUAACCCACCUGGUCUCUAGUGCUCAUACUUCACCUGCUGACAGUUAAGGCACCGAGCUACAAAUCCAACUAUAUCUUUCUUCAUCCGCCUCUACCAAUAGUGUUGUCUCAAAUCCUGAUACAUCUCCGCAACACCCGGAUGAAUGGAAUAUCACAAACUAUGGGCCUCUUCUAGAAUCAACUCCAGAAGCCCAUCAACAUUGGGUACACAAAUCCGACCCUGCAUCCUCAAUACCCCGUCAUCUCCAAUAGUCACAUUUAUGGCAUCACCGUGCAGAACCUUGUCCUUGAGGACAAGCAAAUGAGGGUCAUCAAACUGACGCUCCCUGAUACGAUCUAAUAAUGAAGACCGAGAAAUCACGCAAGCUAGAACCCGACUAGGCUCCGAAAGAUCCAAUCUCACAAACUGGCUGGCUAAGCCCUGAACAUCCAUCGCCAUAGGCCUCUUCGCUGCUGGUAAAUAAGCCAAACUCCCCAAACUUUCUGCCCGGCAACUCAAAGCAUUGGCCACCAUAUUGGCCUUGCCCGGGUGAUACAGAAAAGUGAUAUCAUAGUCCUUCAACAAUUCUAACCACCUCCUUUGGUGCAAAUUAAGAUCAUUUUGCUUGAACAGGUGCUGCAAGCUCCGAUGAUCAAUAUAAAUCUCACAAGGAACACAGUACAAAUAAUGACACCAAAUCUUCAAGGCGUGAACAAUAGCAGCUAACUCGAGAUCAUGGAUAGGAUAAUUCUUUUCAUGUACCUUCUACUGUCUGGACGUGUAGGCAAUCUUCCUACCGUCCUAUAUCAAUACCACUCCAAGGCCAAUCCAUGAGGCAUCACAAGAGACAAUAUAAUACCCCGAACCUGUAGGCAAUAUUAAACUGGGGUUGUAGUCAAAGCUGUCUUGAACUUCUGAACGCUCGCCUCACACUCUUCCGUCCAUUGGAACAGAGCACCCUUCUGGGUCAGCCUGGUUAUAAGGGCUACAAUCGAUGAAAACCCCUCCACAAAACGAUGGUAGUAACCCGCUAAGCCAAGAAAAUUGCGGAUCUCUAUAGCUGAGGAUGGUUUGGGCAAACUCUACAUUGCCUCUACUUUCUUCAGAUCCACCCGUAUACCCUCACUCGAUACCACGUGACCGAACAAAGCCACGGAAUCCAACCAAAACUCACAUUUCGAGAACUUUGCAUAUAACUUCUUUUCCCUUAAAGUCUGAAACACUGUCCUUAGGUGUUGCUCAUGAUCUUUCCGACUCCGGGAAUACACCAGAAUAUCAUCAAUAAAGACAAUGACGAACGAAUCAAGAUACGGCCGGAACACUCUAUGCAUCAAAUUCAUGAAGGCUGCUGGGGCAUUGGUCAUCCCAAAUGACAUAACAAGGAACUCAUAAUGACCAUACCAAGUCCUGAAUGCAGUUUUUGGGAUAUCUGGCUNNNNNNNNNNNNNNNNNNNNNNNNNNNNNNNNNNNNNNNNNNNNNNNNNNNNNNNNNNNNNNNNNNNNNNNNNNNNNNNNNNNNNNNNNNNNNNNNNNNNNNNNNNNNNNNNNNNNNNNNNNNNNNNNNNNNNNNNNNNNNNNNNNNNNNNNNNNNNNNNNNNNNNNNNNNNNNNNNNNNNNNNNNNNNNNNNNNNNNNNNNNNNNNNNNNNNNNNNNNNNNNNNNNNNNNNNNNNNNNNNNNNNNNNNNNNNNNNNNNNNNNNNNNNNNNNNNNNNNNNNNNNNNNNNNNNNNNNNNNNNNNNNNNNNNNNNNNNNNNNNNNNNNNNNNNNNNNNNNNNNNNNNNNNNNNNNNNNNNNNNNNNNNNNNNNNNNNNNNNNNNNNNNNNNNNNNNNNNNNNNNNNNNNNNNNNNNNNNNNNNNNNNNNNNNNNNNNNNNNNNNNNNNNNNNNNNNNNNNNNNNNNNNNNNNNNNNNNNNNNNNNNNNNNNNNNNNNNNNNNNNNNNNNNNNNNNNNNNNNNNNNNNNNNNNNNNNNNNNNNNNNNNNNNNNNNNNNNNNNNNNNNNNNNNNNNNNNNNNNNNNNNNNNNNNNNNNNNNNNNNNNNNNNNNNNNNNNNNNNNNNNNNNNNNNNNNNNNNNNNNNNNNNUGCAUAAAACCACAUUUUUCUUCACAAACAAGACAGGAGAACCCCAAGGUGAUACACUGGGCCGAAUAAAACCCUUGCAAUUCUUGUAACUGAUCCUUCAACUCAUUCAACUCAAGUGGAGCCAUACGAUACGGAGGGAUAGAAAUGGGCUGAGUGCCCAGCAAUAGAUCAAUGCCAAAAUCAAUAUCUCUAUCAGGUGGCAUGCCCGGAAGAUCAGAUGGGAAUACAUCAGGAAAAUCCCGUACUACUGGGACUAAAUCAACUGAAGGGGUAUCAAUACUAACAUCUCUCACAUAAGCUAGAUACGAGUCAUAUCCCCUUUCAACCAUAUGUUGAGCCUUAAGGAAAGAAAUAACUCUACUGGGAGUGUGAUCUAAAGCACCCCUCCACUCAACACGUGGUACACCUGGCAUAGCCAGUGUCACAGUUUUGGUGUGAUAAUCAAGAAUAACAUAAUGGGGCGACAAUCAGACUAUGCCCAAGAUAAUAUCAAAAUCAAUCAUGUUGAGCAACAAUAAAUCGACUCUAGUCUCAAACCCACUAAGAGCAACCAAACACGACCGAUAAACAUGGUCCACAACAAGAGAAUCUCCCACAGGAGUAGAAACAUAAAUGGGGGAACUCAAAGAAUCUCGAGAUACACCCAAAUGUGAAGCAAAAUAAGAAGACACAUAAGAAUAAGUGGAUCCUGUAUCGAAUAGAACCGAUGCAUCUCUGUGACAAACCAGUAUAAUACAUGUGAUGAUAGAAGCGGAGGCAAUAACCUCGGUGCUGGCAGGAAGUGCAUAGUAUUGGGCCUGGCCUCCCCCUUUAGGGCGACCUCUACCUCCCCGACCUUCACCUCUAGCUGACUGAGCAGGUGGGGUAGCAACUGGUGCUGUAAUCAUAGCCUGAGAACUCUGUGGGGCACACUGUGACUGAGAAGUCUAUGGAGGUGCACCCUUCCUAAAUCUGGGGCAAUCCCUAACCAUAUAGCGUGUAUCACCACACUCAAAACAAGCUCUAGGAGGAUGUGGUGGCUAUGACUGGCUCGGGCCAGGACAACUGGACUGACCACUGAAAGUACCCCGUGCAGGAGGCACACUAGAUACUAGAGGUGAAUAAUAAGGCUCCUGAGGCCUAGGAGGAGCUGGAAUACUACUGGCUGCUGGAAGAGCCGAAUGAAUGGGCUGACCCAGAUGAACCCUACCAUGACGAACUGCAGCUGGCGCACGGGCACCAGAAUAAUGGCCUGACUCUCGAGACCUCUUAGCCUCCCUCUCCUCUCUCUCCCUAGCAUGCAUACCCUCAAUCCUCCUAGCAAUUCUCAUCACCUGCUGAUAAGAAAUAUCCAUCUCCAACUCACAAGCCAUGCUAGACCUGAUGCUGGGAAUAAGCCCCUUAACAAAUCGACGAACCCUCUCACGAAUAGUAGAAACCAAGGUUGGGCAUGUCUAUCCAAGCUGGUGUAACAGAGAGCAUACUCCGAGAUAGUCAUAGUACUUUAGCGCAAAUGCUCAAACUCUGCGCGCCAUGCGUCCCUGAGGCUCUGAGGAACAAACUCUCUCAGGAACAUAUUUGAAAACUAGGUCCAAGUUAGUGAAGCUGCCUCAUCCGGACUGUCUAACUCAUAGGUACGCCACCACUCAUAGGCGGCUCCUCAAAGCUGGAAGAUAGUGAAAGAAACCCCACUCGAUCUUGAUAUACCCAUAGUGCGGAGGAUACGGUGACACUCCUCCAGAAAUCCCAAGGCAUCAUCUGAUGCUAACUCACUCAAUACCGGAGGAUCAUACUUCUUGAACCUCUCAAGUCUCCACUGCUCAUCCUCUAAAGCUGCAGCCCUGUCCUAAGGCUGACCUGGGACUACAGGCUGUACAAGAAUAAUCUCUGAGACCUGAUCAACAUGCACUUACUGCUCAGGAGUGCGGGCGGCGGGAGUCUAUGCUCCUCCCCAGCCUGAGAUGUGGCUGUAACAAGGGGAAGAAACCCUGCCUGAGCCAAAUUGGUGUACAUGCUCAUGAACUACACAAUAGUCUCCUGAAGAGCUGGAGUAAUAGUAGCAGUAGGCAUAUCGGGUGCCUGGACUCCGGUUGGAACUGCUGGUGGUACCUUAGUGGCAGCUCGCGCGGGUGCUCUGGCUUUACCACGUGUGCGUCCUCAGCCUCUACCCUAGCCCCGGCCUCUAACGGCUGCAAUAGGGGGCGCAGGUGCCUGAUCAUCUCGGGUUGCACGUGUCCUCACCAUCUGUGAGAGAAUAGAAGACAUAAGUUUAGAAUUGUGACAUCAAAAUCUCGCACGACAAGGAAAUCAAAUGAAGUGGAAUUCUCCUAACAGUUACAUAGCCUCUCCUGGAUAAGCAUAGACGUCUCUGCACCGAUCAACGAGACUCUAAUAAACCGUCUUGUGAUUCAUGACUCCUAUGAACCUAGAGCUCUGAUACCAACUUGUCACGACCCUGGUUCUCCCUCUGUGAACCAUCGUGAUGGCACCUAGUCUCUACGACUAGGUAAGCCUAACGAUGCGGAAAAUAAACCAAUUUGCAGAAGAAAUAAUUAAAAACCGAAUUAGUGAGGUAAAACAAUAUUUAAAGUGCCACUCGGCAUACACAAUAUCAACUCUCGAAAACUAAUAACAUUUCCCAAAACCCUGAAUCUCAUGAUCACAUGCCUUUGAAUAUCUACAAGUAUCUAAAUCCAGAAUAUCUAACAAGGAAACGAAAGAACAGAAGGGCUAAUACAAAAGGGGAGAGUAGAAAGGGACUUUUCGGUCUACAGACGCGGCAGAUUUACCUUGGAUUCUCUAAAAGCGCCUCGUCUCGCGAAUGAUAAGUCUGAAUGGAGGUACAUGGAUCUGCACAUGAAAACUAUGCGCAGAAAGGGCAUGAGUACACCACAACGGUACUCAGUAAGUGUCAAGCCUAACUUCGGUCGGGUAGUGACGAGGUAGGUCAAGGCUCUACUGAGGUUAAAUAAAAUAUAAGGUUUAACACUAUAGAAUAAAAUAGUAUAAAUAAGUAAAAUAGUAAAAGUAACACAGGAUAUGAAAGACAAUAACAACUACUACAGAGGCAAAGUAAACACAGUAAGAAAUAUAGCUCAGCACAAAAAUAACAACCGGAGAUCUCCUAAGAUACCGUCCUGUAAUCUCAAAUGUAAAUAUCCAGUGGAUCUCCCAGGAUACCGUCCCGUAAUCUAACUCAAAAUGCGAGGGGAUCUCCUAGAAUACCGAUCAGUAGUCCCAAAUGUAAAUACUCAGUACAGGGGGAAUCUACCGGGUGCAGUCCCGUAGCUCCAAUGUAAAUGUGCAGGGGGAUCUCCCGGAAUAUUGUUCCGUAGUCCCAAAGUAAAAAAACAGGGGAUCUCCCGGGAUACCGUCCUGUAGACCCAAAGUAAACACACAGCAACAGCAAGAAGAGUACAAAGUUCAAUUCAAGUUCCAUACCAAGGUAAAACAGGUAUUUCUAACCUAGCAUGUUGCACGUAAUCCAAAUAAGGCAGUUUGAGCAAGUGGGGCAAUAAGUCAAUUAGACAAGCUUUCCUAAGCUAACAACAGGCUUAAAUUGCGAGUAAUAUAAAUAGAAAAGGAAACAUACUAGUAACUACUUAAUGAAAAUCGAAUUUUCAACAAUUAGCACAAGUACGCACUCGUCACCUCACGUACAAGGCAUUUCAAUUAUCAAUAAUACCAAAUCUAAAGGGGAAGGUUCCCCACACAAGGUUAGGCAAGUCACUUACCACGAACCAGCUAAAAAUCAACUCGAAACCACACUCUUGCCACGAGUACUCACUCCAAAUGGCCCAAAUCUAUUCAAUUCAAUUGCAUAAUGUAAAUAACACUUCAAGUAACGGAAUUUACAAAUAAAUUCUAAGCUAAUACGCGAAAUUAGGAAAAAUAACCAAAAUUCCCCUCGGGCCCAUGUCUCAGGAUCGGGUAAAAUUUAUAUUUUCAGAAUUCUCAUACUCUCACGAGUUCAUUUAUAUUAAAAUUAUCCAAAUCCAAGGUCAAAUUCCCAAUCAAAAUUCGAAUUCAAGGUCUAAGAACUUUCUUCUCACUAUGGUAUUAUGGAAGCGACAGAGUAUAUGCGUUACGAGUUAUUGUGUGUGUUUUGAUAUAUGGCUUCGAGCCAAGUGAGGGAGUCCGCUAUUGAUUAGUUGAUUGCACAGUUAUGUGCUAUGUUGGUUCCAGUUUGAGGCAUAUGGGUGAAUCAGUUAUGGCUUAAGGAGAUUGAGACCGAGGAUGGCUCGUGUAAAGGAAAAUUUAUACAAAGGUUACAUUAUGCUUCAUAGGUGCGUGAGAAUCACGAAAUGACUUGAGUUGUUAAUUCGUAAAGGAUGUUCGGUGCAUAGAAUAGAAAGUUGCUUGGUUGCAUUAAGAUGAGGUUGCAUUCUGCGGUGUCGGAAUGCUAAUGGAGCACAGGUCGUCCGGUUCAUUUGAUCGGUCUAAUUGCGGUUUGAGUAAAGUGGAGGGCUCUCGAAAAUGGUUCUAAUGGGUUCAAGAUUUUACAUGUAAUAAUUGGAGAUUUUCAGGUUGUAUAGUUGGCUAGAAACCGAGGUUUGCAUUGGAGGGUGUCAAGACUUGCGGCAUUUCUAUAUCAAUUAUGGGAUUCUAUAUAUCAGUAUCGGGAAGGUGAAGGUAAUGGCUUUGGAUUCGCAGGAAGUCCCUUCAGGUUAGGUAUUUUUGAAUGUGGUGCAAUUGGGAAUGUUUAAGAGAGUAUCCAGCGACUUAUGAGCCUUAGACGGGGUGGUUUUACACUUGGGUCUCAUGUGGUAAGUCUGGAUUGAGGAAUUGUGGUGUUAUAGCUAGAAGAAGUAUCAAGUUAAAGGUAAAUCAGACGGAACUUAGAUAGGUGGGAUAGCUUGGUAGUAGGCCGGAUCGGCAUGGUAUAGAUGUGGUCAGAUCUUUGGAUGUUUACGAGGUAAUGAGUUUUUGCAGGUGUUUCGCGGCAAUUCUCUUGGGUUUUGGUGGUAUGCGUAGCUUGGUUGAGUUAGAAGGAUCCACUACUGACGGUUUAGUUUUGUGCAAAUGGAAUUCGGAGAGUUCUUGAUGGUUUCUGCCACGGUCAGAGAUGCAUAUUUUCUGCGAGCGUGAGAAGCAUAGGAUGCGUGGUGAUUUUCUAUUAGAUGGGAUCACUGGAAGGUCUUGGCUAGUUGAGUACGUAGCUGCUUGUGGCUCGAAAGGGGUAUGAAGUUCUCAUGUUCAUCCUAGGAUGGUAUGGUAUAUGAUGUAUGUUGUGUAGGAUUGAGAUUUGCAUGUGUAAGGUCGCGGUUCAGUUUUGAAAGGAAGGUCACAAAUUCUUGAGUAGCAUGGACAGUUCAGAUGACUAGAUAAAUGAGAUCACUGAUUGGUGUGGUUUGAUGAGGGUAUACAUUUUAGAAAGGGCGAUGUGUUUGAGUUGAGGAUACUUCAUUAGUAUUGCAGUUCGAACCUUGAGUUUUGACCAAGCGGGCCCGGGGUUGGUUUUUGACUUUUUGGGGAAACGUUUGGGAAAACUAAAUUUGUGCAUUGUAGUUGAUUCUCUUAGAAACAUAUUAAUUGUGGCUAGAUACGAGUAGAUUGGAGGUGGAAUCUAAAGAAAAAGCGGUAUUUGAGGCUUGAGUUUGGUCGUGGAAUCGAGGUAAGUGUUGUGGCUACCUUAGCUUGAGGUAUUAGGUGUUGUUACCUUAUUUGCUACGUGUUUAGUUGUUGAGUAUUACAUAUAGGUGAGGUGAUGAGUAUCUAUACGUUGUUGUUGGGUCAUAGCAUACAAGUGAGUCUUAUACUUGUGACCGUUGUAUUCCUGUAUACGUACUAUUCAUGCUUUAACUGGUUAAUUCUUUAUGUUAAACGAGUUUUACUAUAUUUUUCCCUGUUUUGGAUAUUGGUUGAGCAUUUACUUAAGUUGAGAUUUAUAUUGUGAAGUUAAAUAAUGAAACGAGGUUGUUAUUUAUGAUUCCGUUGUCGGGUUGUUAUUGUUUCUGUUGUUGGGUGAGGAAGAGUGUAAAGCACGAAGGGUGAUGCCGUGCAAUAUUUUGUAAGUGAGUGAUAAAGCACGAAGAGUGAUACCGUACCAUAUUCUGUGAGUGUUAAUGCACGAAUGGUGAUGUCGUGCCGUGAUUGUGAGAGAGUUAAUGCACGAAAGGUGAUGCCGUGUCGUUUCUGUUGUUUCUUAUGGUAAAGACGAGAGUAAAAGCAUGAUAUUUACUUUAUUUCUUUACUGUAUUAUUUCCUGAACUUGAUAUUUUCCCUCUGCAUGGCUUCCCCUUAAAUUUCAGUUAUUAUUAUCUUCUCGUAUAUAAUUUAACUGCACAGGUUUAUAUUGUUGUCAUGUCCGAACCUCAUCACUACUUCGCCGAGGUUAGGCUCGAUACUUAUCAGUACAUGGGGUCGGUUGUACUGAUACUGCUAUUUGCACUUUCUGUGUAGAUUUCAGUGCCGGAACUCGUGAUUAGAGUUGGGUUGCUACCUUCAGUCCAUUAGGAGACCCAAGGUAGAUCUGACGGCGUUCGCAGACCCUGGAGUCCCCUUUCCUCUAUCUUAGUUUUCCUGUCUCUUUUCAUUUCGAGAACUAAUGUAUUUUUUUAAACCAGUAUUUGUAGAAAACUUUUAAAAGUUCGUGGAUUGUGACACCAGAUCUUUUGGGUAGC
rnacentral:lncRNA from 1 species